CCUACGGGUGGCAGCAGUGGGGAAUAUUGGACAAUGGGGGCAACCCUGAUCCAGCCAUGCCGCGUGUGUGAAGAAGGCCCUCGGGUUGUAAAGCACUUUCAGUGAGGAAGAACGCCUGGUGGUUAAUACCCAUCAGGAAAGACAUCACUCACAGAAGAAGCACCGGCUAACUCCGUGCCAGCAGCCGCGGUAAUACGGAGGGUGCGAGCGUUAAUCGGAAUUACUGGGCGUAAAGCGCGCGUAGGUGGCUUGAUAAGCCGGUUGUGAAAGCCCCGGGCUCAACCUGGGAACGGCAUCCGGAACUGUCAAGCUAGAGUGCAGGAGAGGAAGGUAGAAUUCCCGGUGUAGCGGUGAAAUGAGUAGAGAUCGGGAGGAAUACCAGUGGCGAAGGCGGCCUUCUGGACUGACACUGACACUGAGGUGCGAAAGCGUGGGUAGCAAACAGGAUUAGAUACCCCGGUAGUC
rnacentral:rRNA from 1 species